UGACGAUGAUGAGAGGAAUAUAAUUCCCUGACUUGGUAUUACCAUCCUGUGAUGGCAAUGACCAAGGUGUGAUUGGAUUUAAUCUUCUCUCUGAGUUG